CAUGACCGAGCGCCGCGUCCUCUUAUGGCUCCUGCCGGACCCCAGCUGGGACCCCUUCCGCAACUGGUACCCGCACAGUCGCCUCUUCGACCAGGCCUUCGGGCUGGUCGCAGUGGUUUGGCACCAGCAGCUGACCAGGCUACGUGAGCCCCCUGCCCCCCACCGCGGUCGAGAGCCCCGCGGUGGCCGCGCCCGCCUACAGCCGCGCGCUCAGCCAGCAGCUCAGCAGCGGGGUCUCGGAGAACCGGCCCACGGCGGACCGCUGGCGCGUAUCCCUGGACGUCAACCACUUCGCCCCUGACGAGCUGACAGUCAAGACCAAGGGUGGCGUGGUGGAGAUCACCGGCAAGCACAAGGAGCGGCAGGACAAGCAUGGCUACAUCUCCCGCUGCUUCAUCCGGAAAUACACGCUGCCCCAUGGUGUGGACCCCACCAAGGUCUCCUCCUCCCUGUCGCCUGAGGGCACACUGACCGUGGAGGCCCCCAUGCCCAAGCUAGCCACGUAGUCCAACUAGAUCCCCUUAGAGUCGCGGUCCCAGCUUGGGGGCCUAGAAGCUGGGAAAUCCGACCAGUCUGCAGUCAAGUAAAAGCCUUAGCCCGGAUGCCCACCCCGGCUGCCACCACUAGCCAUGCCCCCUCACCCACCUGUGUGUUCUUUUGAUACGUUUAUCUUCUGUUUUUCUCAA